rnacentral:rRNA from 1 species
UUUCAAAUUACGGAAGCAACGCGAAGAACCUCUCGCCAGGUCUUGACAUCCUCUGACAACCCUAGAGAUAGGGCUUUCCCUUCGGGGACAGAGUGACAGGUGGUGCAUGGUUGUCGUCAGCUCGUGUCGUGAGAUGUUGGGUUAAGUCCCGCAACGAGCGCAACCCUUGAUCUUAGUUGCCAGCAUUCAGUUGGGCACUCUAAGGUGACUGCCGGUGACAAACCGGAGGAAGGUGGGGAUGACGUCAAAUCAUCAUGCCCCUUAUGACCUGGGCUACACACGUGCUACAAUGGACAGAACAAAGGGCUGCGAGACCGCAAGGUUUAGCCAAUCCCACAAAUCUGUUCUCAGUUCGGAUCGCAGUCUGCAACUCGACUGCGUGAAGCUGGAAUCGCUAGUAAUCGCGGAUCAGCAUGCCGCGGUGAAUACGUUCCCGGGCCUUGUACACCCGCCCCCGUCAA